UACGGGGGGGGCAAGCGUUGUUCGGAAUUACUGGGCGUAAAGGGCUCGUAGGCGGCCAACUAAGUCAUACGUGAAAUCCCUCGGCUUAACCGGGGAACUGCGUCUGAUACUGGAUGGCUUGAGUUCGGGAGAGGGAUGCGGAAUUCCAGGUGUAGCGGUGAAAUGCGUAGAUAUCAGGAGGAACACCUGCGGUGUAGACGGCUUUCUGGACCAUUGUUGACGCUGAGACACGAAAGCGUGGGUAGCAAACAGG
rnacentral:rRNA from 1 species